rnacentral:rRNA from 1 species
GCCGGUGCGCUAACCCUUCGGGAGGCAGCCGUCCAUGGUAUGUCCGGCGAUUGGGUG